rnacentral:lncRNA from 1 species
CUCAUCCUACCGGGCUUCGGGAUAAUUUCCCAUAUCAUAACAUAUUACUCUGGAAAAAGGAACCAUUUGGGUAUAUGGGUAUAGUGUAAGCCAUAGUAUCAGUUGCCUUCUUGGGGUUUAUCAUAUGGGUCCACCACAUAUUUACAGUAGGAAUAGAUGUAGAUACAUGAGCAUACUUCACUCUGCUACUAUAAUUAUUGCUAUUCCUACUGUUGUCAAAGUCUUUUAGCUGAUUAUCUACACUUCACAGGGGUAAUAUCAAAUGAUCCCCCACCAUGCUCUGAGCCCCAGGGUUUAUUUUCCUUUUUACAGUAGGAGGCCUAACCAGCAUUGUAUUAGCCAACUCAUCACUGGAUAUUGUACUACAUGAUACA